UAAAUUGACUCCAUUGAUUUCCAUUCCAUUCCUUAAACUGUGUUCCGAAGAUGGAAUGGAGGACGGAGGUCUUACGGGUUUGGAACGACAUGAGGGUCGCUCUCAGCAGCGUGGAUGCAGCGUGGACGGUGUCUGGAUGAUCAUUAACAGUAUAUGGCUACAAAGCAGAAUGGCUGACACAUCUCUCUGUGUGAUCUGGCUGACAUGCCCACAUAAUACCUGUAAUCAGGGGCUGCCAGCAGUGCCCGGGGGGACAUAAAGCAGCGUGGCGAUGCCCUGCCGUGACAGCCGUCCUUGUUCCCGCUGACAUGUCCGUAUGCGGGGCCAGAGCAGCGACAGCACCCGUGUAAAUACAGGCAGGAGUCUCUGCCUCUGGGGAGAUAGUGUUAUCUCCAGCGUCAAGGAGUUCUCCCAUCCCUCCUCCACAAAAACCCAUCCUCUGAGAAGCACACAGCUCCUCACCCCACACCUCCCCUCUCACCCUGCCUACACCGCAAUCACGGCACUAACCCACCUCUGUCUACACAGGGACACAGAACGCGUGAACUGCAGAGGUUGUGUACAUAUAGAUGCAUGUGACUCUGUAUUAAUAUGUGUCCUUGCCAUGACCAUGGCAUUGUGGGGCACAGCGAUUUGGGAUUACCAACCCUGCUUCUCCCUGAUGUUCAAGGAAUGUGAUUUACUCCACAGAUUCAGAAGGAUCUCUGAAUAUGACCUCCAACAGAAGGAGGCAGAGCCGAUGAAAUUGACUAAUCCUCCCUUUCCUUUUUUCUUUUUCAUUAAAAAGAGAUUUUAAGUGUGAAAGUAUUAUUUUUUCCCUCAAAUGCAGUGGAUUUUCACAGAUAUUCAAGUCAGCUGGAUUUUUCAAGGUGGGAGGCACUUCAAGGAAAUUAACUCGAAAGAAAGUAAACUAAAACCUGACUAACAAAAUAUGUCCAAAGAACAUUUUGUUAAUGUUCAUCCAUAUUAAAUUAACGUUAUUUCUGAAUUUCCUCUGAACAUUCAAAAUGUCCAGUUUAAAUGUUUUAAAAACAUAUUUUUACUGUGUGAAUGUUAAGGAAACAUUCAGUUUUAUAAUUUCGCAACGUUAUAUGAACAUUACUUUUAUGUUCUUUGAACAAUCUGAAAUGUAGUAUCAUUUAAAAAAAUGUCAGAUGAAUGUCCAUGAACAAUGUAUAAAUAAUGUUUUUGUGCUAACGUUUUGAGAAUAUAAUUAAAGACCAGAUAACUUUGAAUGAACAUAUAACUAUUAACGUUACUGGAAGAAUGUUUGUUCAUAACUUUGAAAGAACCUUGUCAGAAUGUUAGCCAAAGUUCUGAAAACAUUCCCUGCUAGCUGGGAAAAGGCAUUCCUGUCCUCCUCUUUGACUGCUUCAUCUGAGCGCCGCAGAAACUCCUUUAAAAUAAAGAUGGACAGCCAAAAACAAGGGACAAUGCAAAAGCAAACUACAAUCAAUACUAUAAACUAUACUAAACCAUUGUCAACAUUUGCCAAUAUUUGUAUAGAUAGAUAUAUCUAUGGUAAUAUACUAGCGAUUGUCAAUUCAGACGUGCUUUAUGUUCUUUGACACCUCAUGCUGACGUAUAGAAGCUCAACAGUAUUACAGUUAUUUGUGAAACUGACGGCAAUUAGAGAAAUGCGGGCCAGUCUGGGCAUGCUUGUACUGUAUUGUCCAUGUCAAUAAUCAAACCACUCUGACAAUAAAUC